rnacentral:rRNA from 1 species
UACGUAGGGGGCUAGCGUUGUCCGGAAUCAUUGGGCGUAAAGCGCGCGUAGGCGGCCAGAUAAGUCCGGUGUGAAAGUCACAGGCUCAACCUGUGAAUGCCGCUGGAAACUGUCUGGCUAGAGUCCGGAAGGGGCGAGUGGAAUUCCUGGUGUAGCGGUGAAAUGCGCAGAUACCAGGAGGAACACCAGUGGCGAAGGCGGUGCUCUGGGCCGGAACUGACGCUGAGGAGCGAAAGCGUGGGGAGCAAACAGG